UAUAUAUAUAUUAUUCGAGUAAUAAUUUGAGACUGGGUAUUUAAGUGCUACUUACCCAUAUUCAAUUCAACUUUAUAAUAAAUAUUCCUUAGCUUUCGUAUUUCAAAGUGCUGUCAUUAUUGGAGUGCUAAAUAUGCUUCUUAAAAUAAAAUAAGAGACGUUUUGAAAAAUCCGCUGCCGAAAAUCAAGUGACUGGAAUGGUCCUGUGUAGUAUUAAAAAACAGAAGAGUUGUUGAAACGUACGAAGCUUUUGUCGCAAACAUAUCAAUCAAUGCAUGGGCGCGUUCAUGAGUAUGUGAAUCCGUGUGGUCAAUUGUCGAUGCGAUUCUAGUAAUAAUGUACAAAUUAAUCUCUAUACGAAUUACAGUGCGAAUAUUAUUGUUUACACUUACUGUGUAGUUGUUAAGUUAAGUCUAGUUUGCGGAUGUACCAUACAAUUAGUUAAUUUUAGGAUUGAUUUGUUACAAAUAGUAUAGUGAUUGCGAAUGCAUUGUACAGUCACCUUCAUAAUAUAUAUAUAAGUAUACCAGACGGUGCUUCAUAUUAAUGUUUGUUUUAAUGAAGUUUCUAGAAGUAAUAAUUUUAAAUGAAAAUAACAGUUGCAAUUUAUUUGUUUGAACAUUACUCAAACACGUUUAAUAAGUACCUAAAUUAUAUUGUGUAGACCCCUUAAUGUCUUACUUAAUUAUAAAGGUGACUGUACAACAAGUAUGUUUUUUAUUUUGUUAAUGCUCAUUUUAUUACGUUUUUAAGAGUCUAGUCAUCAGUUACGAUUUACAAAUGAAAAAAAACAUUAUAAUUGCUCUUAUCGCAUUUUUAUCAUGCUGUUGACAUUUUGUAUCAGAUUGUUUUAUACAAGUGGGGUUUUGUGUAAUAACCUGUUCUGCAUUGCAAUUUAAAUUUUAACAAUGAGAAUUGAGUAUAGCUGUUAACCAAUAUAGAUUUAUUAGUUUUAAGUUACCUUUAAGAAUAUUUUCUUCUAAAAUAUGCGGGCAUAAUUAUUUUAUUAAUUUUUACUUUAAACAGACAUUUGUAUAUGUUUCAUUUCACAAUUUUAAGAUGAAUCGUGUUAUUGUUGACAUAUUACAAAAUAUAAUUUUUCCUCAAAGGGAACUUACUGUAUGACAGAUUAUAGUAUGUAUAAAUAAAUGUAAAUGUUUGUGAUAAAAGGAAAAGCACAAUUUUAAUAAAGCCUAAUGAGACAUUGUUGUAAGGUCAUUGUCGUAAGUCUCGCGGUAGAUGAUGCAUCCUAGAUAUAUACAGGGUGGCCCACCCAAACCGUUCAGUAUGGGGAUUUCAGAAAAUAUAAGAGAUAGAAGAAUAUCUUCUAAGGAACCACGAUAUCGAUUUUAGAGAAAACAAAAACUGCAAUCAUAGAUUUUCAAAAAAAAAUCAUACACGACUCGGGAAUCGAACCCGGUCAUAAAUGAAAAAAAAUACAUUUUUGUUUUAUAGCCAUAUUGAUAGUGUACGUUGUAAGGAGUGAUUGUUGCUAUGAAACCUAGUGUCUAAAAUUAAAAGAAAUUGCUUUAUUUGAUAUUGUUUCAUGUAAGUUGUCGGUUUUACUCAUUAAAAAAUGUAGGCAAUAACCAAUCGUCAUGCUGUCUGGGUAUACCCAGUACUUACUUAUAUAGUAUAGUAUAGUUGUAGUUUUACUGGUAUACUGGUAUACCAGUAAAAAGAUAUUAUUUUGCUGUUAUUUAAAAAUGGAAUGUGAACUUCUAAGAUUGCCGAAUUUCAAUUUUAAAAAUGAACGCUUAAUGUCUGCGUACCAGUAAAACUAUGUUUUUGCUGUUAUUUGAAAAUGGAACGUGAACAUUUUAAUUUCAGACACAAAAUUUCAUAGCAACAAUCACUUCUUACAACCUGCAAAUGUGGCUGUACUGCUACAAAUAUGGCUUUAAAACAAAAAUGUAUUUUUUUCCAAAAUGACCGGGUUCAAUUCCCGAGUCGUGUAUGAUUUUUUUUUGAAAAUCUAUGAUUGCAGUUUUUGUUUUCUCUAAAAUCGAUAUCGUGGUUCCUUAGAAGAUAUUCUUCUAUCUCUUAUAUAUUUUAAAAUCUCCAUACUGACCGGUUUGGGUGGGCCUGUAUACCGGUUCAAGCUAUUAAGUGAAAAACGGUUUCCAUGUUCAAAAUAUACAACAUUAUAAUUAGAAUAUUAAACUUUGUUUUAUUAUGAAGUUGCAACUUUCAAUACAAUUUUAUAUAAUGUUUUACAAUCAGAAGAAAGAAUAAUCUUUAAUUUAACAUAGAUGAAAAUACACACUGUGUGAUAUUUAUAAAUUUUCAAAUCGAUUGUUAUAUCAUUUUGUCCAAACGUUAGAAAUGCCGCAAUCGUCAUUAUAAUUUAUCUAUAUUGACUUCACUGACUAAUAUCAAACAAAGUACUAGUUAAUGCUAUGAGUGAUUUGAAUAUGAUUUUCUUAUGAUUAUAACGAUACAAUGUUGCAACUACAUAGUGAACUAAAAGUUUUUCACGUAGGAAUCAAUUUAAUAUAUUAUUGUAUGUUUCACAUUCGAUGCCUUGCUUCAAUUGAACACUAGUUGAGAAUAAUCGUGUUUCGUUUUCAAAUGUCUUCUACCUACAUAUAGCACUACUUGAUGCCACAAGGGCACACUAUCGGUCAUCGAUAGUUUUCUAUUGACUUCGUAGAGAGGAGUAACAUGCCGUUCACUGUGUCGCAUCGCCAUUAGUACUAUCAUUAUCUUUAAAAAUGGUUGUGAAAUAUCCAAGACUUAAUUUAUACGUCGCUUACAGAUAGAUACACUGAAUGCAUGUUCCUCCCGAAUUUUUACAUUCAAUUUGUGAAAACUUAGAAUCACUUCGCCGCGUAUUUAUCGAAUAUUUUUUAGUGUUUCGCCGAUCGGAGAUGGCAUUUCUACACUAUUUUAAGCCUGAUUAAUUCUUGAUACUAGAAAAGGUAUUUUAUGAGAACUUAGUGCGAAAUUUUUAAUGCUAUCUCCCUAUGGUUAAAUGCUCCUAAAAUAUUGCAUUUGGAAUGUAUGUUAAUUAUAUAUUAGGGGUUGCAAAGUAUUGUGACCGCGACUGUACAUGAUUGUAUGAGAGUUGAUACAACGUGGCCAUGUAGCAUGUGUAAGCAUUUUUGACAUUGAACGUGAAUGCACAAAGUUGUUGAGGAGGGUUUUUGCUGUAAAUGUUUCCGUGGUUUGUUUUAUUUAAACCAAAUGUACAUAUUAUGUGUGAUAGAGAUGAAACGGUCUCAUUUCAAAAUAAAUUUGUUGUAAGUA